CAGAGGUCCCAAGCGUUGUUCGGAUUCACUGGGCGUAAAGGGUGCGUAGGCGGUCGGGUAAGUCUGAUGUGAAAUCUCCAAGCUCAACUUGGAAAUGGCAUCGGAUACUAUUCGGCUCGAGGAAUGGAGGGGAGACUGGAAUACUUGGUGUAGCAGUGAAAUGCGUAGAUAUCAAGUGGAACACCAGUGGCGAAGGCGAGUCUCUGGACAUUUCCUGACGCUGAGGCACGAAAGCCAGGGGAGCAAACGGGAUUAGAUACCCCGGUAGUCCUGGCCCUAAACGGUGCACGUUUGCUGUAAGAGGAAUCGACCCCUUUUGUGGCGAAGCUAACGCGUUAAACGUGCCGCCUGGGAAGUACGGUCGCAAGAUUA
rnacentral:rRNA from 1 species